rnacentral:lncRNA from 1 species
GUUGUAGGAAAGUUUCCGAUUCCAUACAAGUUGCUGUUCUGCCAAAAUUUUAUUGUAGAGGUUUUUAUUUCACUUGAUGGUUCUUAAUAAAGACAUUCUCUAUCUGCAGUGACAUGGAAUGUGACUUGCACAUAUUCCCAAUUUCUUGCUCAAAAGACUCCAUCCUGCUGUGUCUCUCUUUCAUCAUUUUACAAUGACACAAUUGUGAACUGCCCAACAUGCUCUUGUGGCUGCCAAAAUCCAAAUGGGUCAAACUGUGUGAAGUGAGUUUACCUACUUUUUACUCUUAAUACACUUCAUACUAAGGUUCUAUUUUGUCUUUAUAAAUGUCUAAUGAGUAUGGUUUCAUUUUCACAGUGAGGAUUCACCUAAUCUACAAUCUGCAAUUGAUGGCCCUGGAAAAUGGACUGGUCAGCCUCUUGUACAAUGCACUUCCCACAUGUGCCCGAUAAGAAUCCAUUGGCAUGUGAAGCUCAACUACAAGGAAUACUGGAGAGUGAAAAUCACUAUCACCAACUUCAACUUCCGCAUGAAUUACACGCAGUGGAACUUAGUCGCUCAGCAUCCAAACUUUGAUAAUAUCACUCAGCUGUUCAGCUUCAACUACAAACCACUUACCCCAUAUGGCAGUGGCAUAAGUAAGAAACUUGUCUUCUUUUCAAAAAAAGAAAUCAAAAUAAUCUCCCUCCCUCCCCUGAUGUUGUUUGCUUGUCCCAUUUUCAGAUGAUACGGCUAUGUUCUGGGGUGUAAAAUUCUACAAUGAUUUGCUGAUGCAAGCUGGUAAACUUGGGAAUGUGCAAUCAGAACUACUUCUCCGCAAGGACUCCCAGACUUUCACCUUCGAAAAGGGAUGGGCCUUCCCACGCCGAGUGUACUUCAAUGGUGACAACUGUGUCAUGCCAUCUCCUGAAAACUAUCCAUGGUUGCCCAACGCAAGCCCUCUAACAAAACAACCGCUGACCCUCCCACUUUUAGUAUUCUGGG